GAGGGGUAGCAGCUGUUUGUGCCCCCGUCUCUCGCGCUUGUCCUCGUUCUGUAGUUUGCCUGUUCUCUUUCAAUGGCCACAUUAGCUCAAGGCAAUGUGUCAGCUACCUAAUGCGAUCCACCUUCGCUGUGCUCUGUGAGGGACCGUGUGAGCAGCGGCAGAGAGGGAGUGCCCUUCUGAAGCGUGAAAAUAGUUGUGUUGUGAAUGAGGCUUAUCUGCUGGAUCGCAGGGCCGUUCAUUCAUUUAGUCGCUUCACUAAUUGUGCACAGUUAACGGGAGUGGGAUUUCCAUCCUGGGAUCGCUUAUGAUGUGGACGUUGCCAUUCGAUAUUGUAACCCAAAGCUGAUGCAACAGUUUCAGUUUUGCACUGGCCAGUGUUGACACCAGAUAAAUGGGUACACACUUGCAGAACUUUUUAAUUGACCUGGGUUGAAGCCCAGAUCGCGAGAAAUGACAGACCAGCAACAAAGCAUACUUGUUAGGGCUGUGGGUGCUUUCGGUGAGCGAAGACUGGAGGAAGCAGGCUGGGAGCUCCGCAUGGUCUCCUCUUCCAUAGGUGCCAUAACUCAGAGCUGCAAACCCUAAUGAUGAGAACUGGCGGGUCAACUCGGAGACACCUACCUCUUAUGUCAUGAUGUUACUGGGCCUCAACUCAACUCAGCUGCCGUGGCUCCUCCCACCACCCCCUGAUGCCCCCUUCUGUAGCCCACCACACCUUCACCCCAUGGAAACUUACCUCCAGACCUUUUCAGAUUUCGGACAUGCACACACCUCUGGCAGAAAUGAUGGGUGGUUCCAAAAUGUUUGGUCGCAUGACGAUAAAAGUGCACGGUUUCCAAGAUACAGGAGGAGGGUCAACUUACCCACUGGCUCAUCUUACCCCACUCUCCCCUGGAGAUGAAAUACAGAAGCUUGUGGGUUCGUGUUGGUGGCAGUGCUGGCUGGAACUACAGGAGGACGUUUAGAUAUUAAUGGGUUAAAAAGUAAUCCAAAAAAUAAAAGACAGUAAUCAGAUUACAUUAUUUUAAUGUAGUAAGCAUUUAGAUUAAGUUACAGGUCAUUUUUAAUAGCUUAUCAGUAAUAUGUAAUGGAAUGCAUUUUCAAAAUAACACUCCCAACCAUGAUCAUUUGCCUAAACCUCUGUUUUUGUCUGUUUUUGUCCGUGAUGUGUUUUAAACAUUAAAACCUGAGGUUUUACAUUCAUUCUUUGCUCACUUAUUUGUUCAUUUUGUUCAUUCUAACCAUAAACAGACACCUUGGGAUGUGUGUGGACAGGAUUCACCCUUUCACAGUGUCUAAUGAAUAACACUUCCCCGGUGCACCUUCCAAAACGCACAGAGUCACUGUGUCCUCCUUCACGAGCUCACAGAGAGCAGAUCUUGUCAGAUCCAGCCCUUCUAACCUUCCACCCUUCAGCACGGCUAAGGCACUUCUCUCCACUGGGUCUCAGGCAUGUCUCAGCCAUAUUGUCAGACUGCACAUUACCACAGCGCAGCACAGUGGGUAGCUGAUACGGUGGCACGAUAUUUCGAAUUCAGAGCAGCGUGUGGGAUGGCGGGGAGUCGUGGGAUGGAAGAAGGCUCACCAGGGCUGCGAGAGCAAAUGUGCUCCUAUAGAAACUAGGUCAACAGCGGCCAUUUCUAAUGAAUUGUUUCUGAACCGCAGCUGCAGAGGUGAAUGUUGUCUAACCCCUGUGUGAGUUUGACGGACACUUUGCCACUGCGUCCUGCCGGGAUGUCAGCAUUGUGUAACUUUAGAAACAUUAGCACAUCAGGUUGCUCAAUUUUAAACACACCUGACAUUCCAAUCAGGUGCAAAAAAUAAAUAAAUACUGCUACUACAUGGAAUGUUUGGGCCAUGAACAUUCAUAUUACAGAUACCUUUUCAUAAAUGUCAUAUAUAUAUUUGCUUCUAUCCAAUAUAGAACACCUGAUAUUUAUCACCCAAAAAAUCU